rnacentral:pre_miRNA from 1 species
UUUUAUAGAUGAGCAAAGAAAGUGGCUUCAUGAGAUGGAAUCUACCCCUGGUGAAGAUGCUGUGAA